AAUAGAUACCCCGGUAGUCCACGCCGUAAACGAUGAGUGCUAAGUGUUAGAGGGUUUCCGCCCUUUAGUGCUGCAGCUAACGCAUUAAGCACUCCGCCUGGGGAGUACGGCCGCAAGGCUGAAACUCAAAGGAAUUGACGGGGGCCCGCACAAGCGGUGGAGCAUGUGGUUUAAUUCGAAGCAACGCGAAGAACCUUACCAGGUCUUGACAUCCUCUGCCAACCCUAGAGAUAGGGUGUUCCCCUUCGGGGGACAGAGUGACAGGUGGUGCAUGGUUGUCGUCAGCUCGUGUCGUGAGAUGUUGGGUUAAGUCCCGCAACGAGCGCAACCCUUGAUCUUAGUUGCCAGCAUUUAGUUGGGCACUCUAAGGUGACUGCCGGUGACAAACCGGAGGAAGGUGGGGAUGACGUCAAAUCAUCAUGCCCCUUAUGACCUGGGCUACACACGUGCUACAAUGGAUGGUACAAAGAGCUGCGAACCCGCGAGGGUAAGCCAAUCUCAUAAAGCCAUUCUCAGUUCGGA
rnacentral:rRNA from 1 species